rnacentral:lncRNA from 1 species
UAGCAGCCCUAUGGAGGCCCAGUGCUGCCCCAAUAGAAUCCCUAAGGACACCCUAUAGAAUCCUUAUGGACGGCGUGCGGAAUCCCUACAGAAUCCCUAGGAUUCCCUAUAGAAACCCUAUGGAAUCCCUAUGGGCACCCUACAGAAUCUCUAUGGAAUCCCUACGGGCCCCUUAUGGAAGCCCUAUGGAAGCCCUAUGGAAUCCCUAUAGAACCCCUAUGGACAUCCUACAGAAUUCCUACAGAAUCCCCACAGAAUCCCUAUGGACACCCUAUGGAAUCCCUAUGGAAUCCCUACAGAAUCUCUAUGGAAUCCCUAUAGAAUUCCUAUGGACACCCUAUGGAAGCCCUAUGGCCACCUUACAGAAUCCCUAUAGAAUCCCUACAGAAUCGUUAUGGAGCCCCUAUGGAAUCCCUAUGGAAUCCCUAUGGACACCUUAUGGAAUCCCUAUGGAAUCCCUACAGAAUCCCUAUGGAAGCCCUAUGGACACCUUAUGGAAUCCCUAUAGAAUCCCUAUGGAAGUCCUAUGGAAUCCCUACAGAAUCUCUAUGGAUCCCAUAUGGACUCCCUAUGGAAUCCCUACAGAAUCCCUACAGAAUCUCUAUGGAAGCCCUACGGAAUCCCUAUGGAAUCCCUAUGGAAUCCCUAUGGAAGCCCUAUGGACACCUUAUGGAAUCCCUAUAGAAUCCCUAUGGAAGUCCUAUGGAAUCCCUACAGAAUCUCUAUGGAUCCCAUAUGGACUCCCUAUGGAAUCCCUAUAGAAUCCCUAUGGAAGCCCUACGGAAUCCCUAUGGAAUCCCUAUGGACACCUUAUGGAAGCCCUAUGGAAGCCCUAUGGAAUCCCUACAGAAUCCCUAUGGAAGCCCUAUGGACACGUUAUGGAAUCCCUAUAGAAUCCCUAUGGAAGCCCUAUGGAAUCCCUACAGAAUCUCUAUGGAUCCCAUAUGGACUCCCUAUGGAAUCCCUAUGGAAUCCCUAUGGAACCCCUAUGGAGCCCCUAUAGAAUCCCUAUGGAAACCCUACAGAAUCCCUACGGAAUCCCUAUAGAAUCCCUACGGAAGUCCCACGGAUCCCUACGGAGCCCCUAUGGAAUCCCAGUGUCCCUAUGGCCACCCAGAGCUGUGCCCCCCAGCUGCCCCACGGCGCCGCGCCCCCUAUUUAUUGUGUGCUGUGCUCCUGCUCAAUAAAGCUGCCCCACUUCUGCCCCA